rnacentral:rRNA from 1 species
GAUGAACGCUGGCGGCGUGCCUAAUACAUGCAAGUCGAGCGAACGGACGGGAAGCUUGCUUUUAUGAUGUUAGCGGCGGACGGAUGAGUAACACGUGGAGAACCUAACUAUAAGAAUGGGAUACCUUCAGGAAACCGGAGCUAAUACGGGAUAAUAUUUUGAACCGAAAUGUUCAAAAGUGAAAGACGGUAUUUCUGUCACUUAUAGCUCGAUACGCGCUGCAUUAGCUACUUGGUAAGGUAACGGAUUAACAAGGCAACGAUGGAUAGCCGACCUGAGAGCGUGAUCGGCUACACUGGAACUGAGACACGGUCCCGACUCCGACGGUAGGCAGCAGUAGGGAAUCUUACGCAAUGGGGGAGAGCCUGAUGGAGCAACGCGGCGGGAGUGAUGAAGGUGUUCGGAUCGGAAAACUCUGUUAUUAGGGAAGAACAUAUGUGUAAGUAACUGUGAAGAUCUUGACGGUACUUAAUGAGAAAGCCACGGCUAACUACGUG